UUCGAUUAAGCCAUGCGAGUCGAGAGUCUUAGGGACUCGGCGUACCGCUCAGUAACACGUGGGUAACCUGCCCUAUGCUGGGGAAUAACCUCGGGAAACUGAGAAUAAUGCCCCAUAGUCCACAAUGCCUGGAACGGUUUGUGGAUCAAAGCUCCGGCGGCAUAGGAUGGGCCUGCGGCGUAUCAGGUUGUAGGGGGUGUAACGUACCCUCUAGCCAUCAACGCGUACGGGUGUUGGGAGACAUAGCCCGGAGAUGGAUUCUGAGACACGAAUCCAGACCCUACGGGGUGCAGCAGGCGCGAAAACUUGGCAAUGCGAGAAAUCGUGACCAGGGAACUCCAAGUGGCUGGGGUAAGACCCAGUCUUUUCUUGACUCUUCAAAGGUCUUGGAAUAAGGGGUGGGUAAGGACGGUGCCAGCCGCCGCGGUAAUACCGGCGCCUCAAGUGGUAGUCGAUUUUAUUGGGCCUAAAACGUCCGUAGCCUGUUUGGUUCAUUCGUGGGUAAAUCAACCAGCUCAACUGGUUGAAUUCUGCGAGCACGGCCAGACUUGGGACCGGGAGAGGUGUGGGGUACGCCCAGGGUAGGGGUAAAAUCCUGUCAUCCUGAGCGGACCACCUGUUGCGAAGGCGCCACACUAGAACGGAUCCGACGGUCAGGGACGAAGCCUAGGGGCACGAACCGGAUUAGAUACCCGGGUAGUCCUAGGUGUAAACGCUGUGGACUUGGUGUUGGGGACUCUCCGAGAAUCCUCAGUGCCGAAGCGAAGGUGAUAAGUCCACUGCCUGGGGAGUACGGUCGCAAGGCUGAAACUUAAAGGAAUUGGCGGGGGAGCACCGCAACCUGAGGAUUGUGCG
rnacentral:rRNA from 1 species